rnacentral:rRNA from 1 species
GGGUGCGAUCAUACCAGCACUAAUGCACCGGAUCCCAUCAGAACUACGAAGUUAAACGUGCUUUGGCGAGAGUAGUACUAAGAUGGGUGACCUCUUGGGAAGUCCUCGUGUUGCACCUC